AAAUUGAAGAGUUUGAUCAUGGCUCAGAUUGAACGCUGGCGGCAGGCCUAACACAUGCAAGUCGAGCGGCAGCGGGAAGUAGUUUACUACUUUGCCGGCGAGCGGCGGACGGGUGAGUAAUGUCUGGGAAACUGCCUGAUGGAGGGGGAUAACUACUGGAAACGGUAGCUAAUACCGCAUAACGUCUUCGGACCAAAGUGGGGGACCUUCGGGCCUCACGCCAUCGGAUGUGCCCAGAUGGGAUUAGCUAGUAGGUGGGGUAAUGGCUCACCUAGGCGACGAUCCCUAGCUGGUCUGAGAGGAUGACCAGCCACACUGGAACUGAGACACGGUCCAGACUCCUACGGGAGGCAGCAGUGGGGAAUAUUGCACAAUGGGCGCAAGCCUGAUGCAGCCA
rnacentral:rRNA from 1 species